CCUACGGGGGCAGCAGUGGGGAAUAUUGGACAAUGGGCGAAAGCCUGAUCCAGCCAUGCCGCGUGUGUGAAGAAGGCCUUCGGGUUGUAAAGCACUUUCAGUGGGGAAGAAAGCCUUGGGGCUAAUACCCUCGAGGAAGGACAUCACCCACAGAAGAAGCACCGGCUAACUCCGUGCCAGCAGCCGCGGUAAUACGGAGGGUGCGAGCGUUAAUCGGAAUUACUGGGCGUAAAGCGCGCGUAGGCGGUCUGAUAAGCCGGUUGUGAAAGCCCCGGGCUCAACCUGGGAACGGCAUCCGGAACUGUCAGGCUAGAGUGCAGGAGAGGAAGGUAGAAUUCCCGGUGUAGCGGUGAAAUGCGUAGAGAUCGGGAGGAAUACCAGUGGCGAAGGCGGUCUUCUGGGCUGACACUGACGCUGAGGUGCGAAAGCGUGGGUAGCAAACAGGAUUAGAUACCCGAGUAGUC
rnacentral:rRNA from 1 species